rnacentral:tRNA from 1 species
UGGAACAUAGCUCAGUGGUAGAGCACUUGCCUAGCAUGUAUGAGGCCCUUGGUUCAAGUCCCAGCAUUCAAA